rnacentral:rRNA from 1 species
UACGUGAAACCGUUCAGGGGUAAACGGGAGAAAUCCUGAAUUCGAAAGGGGUCGGAUUCAAGUCCGCCCGGCUGUACAGGACGCCUGGCCCCGCCAGAUGGCGCCGGUCGCCCGCGGCGAUUCAUUUCGCUUGCGGUGUCGUUCCCGGCGAUCACUCGGUGAGGUGGCGAUGCUCUGGCACCGGAGGAGUGCACUUCCCCCCUAGUAGAAACGUCGCGACCCGUUGGGUGCCGGUCUAAGGCCCGGGAUGGCAGACCGCGUGUCCUGUGGGGGUUCUCACAGGCGUGCGGACUCCUGGUGACCCGGCYGGCUGCUCGACGGUAUGACCAGAGGAGUCGAUCCGCUGAAUGUGAAACACUUUGGAUGUGUAGCGUCCGGCCCGGCGCCGAUGCGUGCGGGGAUUGAGGUGCAAACCGGGGGUGUCCGUGCGAAGCACGGCCCCGGCCCCGCUGCGUUUUCGGAUUGUCGGUGUCCUCGGACUGNAUCGUUACUCCCGUCUGCGACGCCNNNNUUCGGAUGG